rnacentral:rRNA from 1 species
CACGUAGGGGGCAAGCGUUGUCCGGAUUUAUUGGGCGUAAAGAGCUCGUAGGCUGUUCGAUAAGUCGGGUGUGAAACCUCCAGGCUCAACCUGGAGACGCCACCCGAUACUGUCAUGACUAGAGUCCGGUAGGGGAGCGUGGAAUUCCUGGUGUAGCGGUGAAAUGCGCAGAUAUCAGGAGGAACACCAGCGGCGAAGGCGGCGCUCUGGGCCGGUACUGACGCUGAGGUGCGAAAGCGUGGGGAGCAAACAGG